rnacentral:rRNA from 1 species
UUGUACACACCGCCCGUCGCUCCUACCGAUUGAAUGGUCCGGUGAAGUGUUCGGAUCGCGGCGACGCGGGCGGUCCGCCGCGUGCGACGCUGUGAGAAGUCCAUUGAACCUUAUCAUUUAGAGGAAGGAGAAGUCGUAACAAGGUUUCCGUAGGUGAACCUGCGGAAGGAUCAUUGUCGAGACCCUCGCGAGAUCGGUGAACCCGUGAACAGUCGGCGGGUGUGCCUGACGGCAUGCCGCCCCCCGCCGCCCGUCCUCUUCUGAGGGCGGCGGUUGGACGACAAGUCCUUCGUUCGGCGCCGUACUGCGCCAAGGAAGAUGCUGUGUUUAAGGCGGAGCGUGACCGCAUGCCCGGUGUGUGCUGGUUCGCUCGGCCGCGGGGGGUAUGAGUCGCCUCCCGUGCUUCGUUGAAUUCGGAAGACUCUCGGCAACGGAUAUCUCGGCUCUCGCAUCGAUGAAGAACGCAGCGAACCGCGAUACGUGGUGUGAAUUGCAGAAUCCCGCGAAUCAUCGAGUCUUUGAACGCAAGUUGCGCCCGAGGCCAAGUGGUCGAGGGCACGCCUGCCUGGUCGUCAUGCGCAGCGUCGCUCCCGCAGUUGCUUGUGUUCACUCGACACCGAACCGGCAGCACGAAUCGGGAUGCGGAGUGUGGCCCUCUGCCUGCGGAAGCGGCGGGUUGAAGAGCGCGUUGUCUUUGGUCGGCCCGUCACCCGACGAAGGUGGUGGAUCGGUUGGAACGAACCGCUUCGUCGCAUUUAGUUGCGACGGCGUCCACCAAGUGAUCACCGAGCUGAUGACUCCUAGCCACGGGCAUUGCUUUCCAGGCGACGGCGCUGCCCUCGUAGUCGCGACAUCAGGUCAGGCGGGGGCACCCGCUGAGUUUAAGCAUAUCAAUAAGCGGAGGAGAAGAAACUUACGAGGAUUCCCCCAGUAGCGGCGAGCGAACCGGGAUGAGCCCAGCGUGAAAAUCGGGCUAACU